AGAGUUUGAUCCUGGCUCAGAACGAACGCUGGCGGCGUGUCUUAAGCAUGCAAGUCGAGCGGCAAGGCGGGGCAACCCGCCCUAGAGCGGCGGACUGGUGAGUAACGCGUGGAUGAUCUACCUUUGGGAUGGGGAUAGCCAUUAGAAAUAGUGGGUAAUACCGAAUACGCUGGCGUGCCUACGAGCACGUCAGGAAAGGCGCUACGGCGCCACCCAUAGAUGAGUCCGCGUCCCAUUAGCUAGUUGGUGAGGUAAAGGCUCACCAAGGCGAUGAUGGGUAGCCGGCCUGAGAGGGUGUACGGCCACAUUGGGACUGAGAUACGGCCCAAACUCCUACGGGAGGCAGCAGCUAAGAAUAUUCCGCAAUGGACGAAAGUCUGACGGAGCGACGCCGCGUGGAUGAUGAAGGCCGAAAGGUUGUAAAAUCCUUUUGUCGGGGAAGAAUAAUCAUGGGAGGGAAUGCCCGUGAGAUGACGUUAACCGGCGAAUAAGCCCCGGCUAACUACGUGCCAGCAGCCGCGGUAAUACGUAUGGGGCGAGCGUUGUUCGGAAUUAUUGGGCGUAAAGCGCGUGUAGGCGGUUUGUUAAGUCUGGUGUGAAAGCCCUGGGCUCAACCUGGGAAGUGCAUUGGAUACUGGCAAACUUGAGUACGGGAGAGGAUAGUGGAAUUUCGAGUGUAGGGGUGAAAUCCGUAGAUAUUCGAAGGAACACCGGUGGCGAAGGCGGCUAUCUGGACCGAUACUGACGCUGAGACGCGAAAGCGUGGGGAGCAAACAGGAUUAGAUACCCUGGUAGUCC
rnacentral:rRNA from 1 species